AGCAGUCGCCGCGGUAAUACGUAGGUGGCAAGCGUUAAUCGGAAUUACUGGGCGUAAAGCGCACGCAGGCGGUUUGUUAAGUCAGAUGUGAAAUCCCCGAGCUUAACUUGGGAACUGCAUUUGAAACUGGCAAGCUAGAGUCUUGUAGAGGGGGGUAGAACUCCAGGUGUAGCGGUGAAAUGCGUAGAGAUCUGGAGGAAUACCGGUGGCGAAGGCGGCCCCCUGGACAAAGACUGACGCUCAGGUGCGAAAGCGUGGGGAGCAAACAGGAUUAGAUACCCGCGUAGUCCCUGUCUCUUAUAC
rnacentral:rRNA from 1 species